UGGUAACACCAGCCCAUCCAGGCUAACACUAGCCUAGCCAUGCUAAUAGACAGCAGAGGAAGAAAUCAAUUUCCCUCUGGGAUUAAUAAAGUAUUUUUGAAUUUGAAUUGAAUUUGAAGUGUGUGAACCAGUCAAUGACCAGCCGAGGGCUGCUAGUCCCUAGAGUAUCUAAUAGUAAUGCUGGUAAAGGUGCUAUUCCUCAGUAAGCAGCGCCAGCCUCUCAGUUACCGGCACCAGCUUAUCAUUAAUCAGAUCAGUAGUUUGCUUCAGAAUUUAUAUAGCCUCCUGCUGCUGGGCAGUAGUCUUAAUUUUGGCCCCCAUACCGCGCCAUACAUACCAAAUGAUUGUAUGCCGCCAAAACUUUUCUAAUAAACAUUAUUUAAGGUGUAAAAGUUGCAGAAGGGGGCUUUAAAUUGAACGUCUUUUGAUUCAAAACAACCCAAUUUUCAACAACUAGACCAACACAUCAGAGGUAAAACAUGAGGACAAUCUAACUGGUGUGCAAGCAUGACGAACAUAUCUCAGUACUGUGAAUAAACAGGGAUCCUCUCCUCUCCCCCUCAUACAGUCUGGGUUUGUGACAACAAGCUGUGUUUGCCCACCGCAUUUCUCAUCCUCCCCUCUUAACCUUUGACCUCAGGAGUCCCACCUGCGUCUCUUUGCACCUCUCGGAUUGUCCGCUUAGCCUGCCCUCUGACGUCAGACGCUUGUCAGGGCAGCAAAUUACCAGCAAUAACUCACCCUGAGAGCAGUAAAUAAAAGGCUCACGCUCCUAAAUUUGACUGCUUUAGUUCUUUUCCUGAAUAAUAAAAUACCAAAUAAUUAGAGUGCCUGUUGCCAGGAGAGUAGACGGACCACAAGUAGAGAGGUAUGUGGAUUUAUUAUAUUUACUACAUAAAAUUAUACCGUUUGCAUAGAGGACUGCUGGGGCAUAACGUCCUGGUAUGUUUUUACAGCUCAGUUCAGAAAAUUCCUCCAGUCCCAUGAAGACCUGACUUCAUUACCCAAACACAGAGUCGACUCCCCGUCUCGAUCCAGGAUCCAAUUCAUCCGGUCGUCCACCAUAAAGUUAAAUCUCACCGCGACAUCAUUAUAACAAGAACUGCAGUUAGGCAUGACCUUGUUACUUGUACCGCUGCAUUUGUGUGUGUGUGUGUGUGUGUGUGUGUGUGUGUGUGUGUGUGUGUGUGUGUGUGUGUGUGUGUGUGUGUGUGGUGGUCUCACCAGUGCCCACAUCCUUCCAGCUCAACAACAUGGCCACCUAGGAGACGGACAUCCAUCCCUGAAUUACCUCCCGCCCAGUCCUCCAUCAUUCUUCAUCCCUACCAACGGCGAGGGAGGCUGAACACAGUGACGUCUGUUUGUGUUGCGCAAACAGCCUCCUGCACAAGAAGAAGAUGUUUUGAUGUUGCACAAACCAGGAUGGUAUUUAGCACAGGAACACCGAGAGUUUCUUCAGAGUGAAAAUGUCCUCCUCUACAGCGGCAGGUAGAUAUGCUGCCCUCUGCAGCUCCGGAUGUCCCUGAGGAUGCCAAGUGGAUGGAGGCUGGAAUGCUCACUGAGAAGGAAAAUAAACACAUGAUGUCAACAAAGCAGACUUUAUUUAAACUUUUAAUAAUAAAACUGGUAUUUACAUGCA